GUGUCAGCAGCCGCGGUAACACGUAGGGGGCGAGCGUUGUCCGGAUUUAUUGGGCGUAAAGAGCUCGUAGGUGGCUUAGUAAGUCGGGUGUGAAACCUCCAGGCUCAACCUGGAGACGCCACCCGAUACUGCUAUAGCUUGAGUCCGGUAGGGGAGCGUGGAAUUCCUGGUGUAGCGGUGAAAUGCGCAGAUAUCAGGAGGAACACCAGCGGCGAAGGCGGCGCUCUGGGCCGGUACUGACACUGAGGAGCGAAAGCGUGGGGAGCAAACAGGAUUAGAUACCCUGGUAGUCCACGCCGUAAACGUUGGGCACUAGGUGUGGGUCGUUAUCAACGCGAUCUGUGCCGUAGCUAACGCAUUAAGUGCCCCGCCUGGGGAGUACGGCCGCAAGGCUAAA
rnacentral:rRNA from 1 species